rnacentral:tRNA from 9 species
GCGGGUGUAGCACAGUGGUAGUGCAUCAGGUUUCCAACCUGACCACGUGGGUUCGAUUCCCAUCACCCGCUCCA